CCUACGGGAGGCAGCAGUGGGGAAUAUUGCGCAAUGGGCGAAAGCCUGACGCAGCGACGCAGCGUGAGGGACGAAGGCCUUCGGGUUGUAAACCUCUUUCAGCGGGGACGAAGCGAAAGUGACGGUACCCGCAGAAGAAGCACCGGCUAACUACGUGCCAGCAGCCGCGGUAAUACGUAGGGUGCAAGCAUUGUCCGGAUUUAUUGGGCGUAAAGAGCUCGUAGGCGGCUUGUCACGUCGGAUGUGAAAACUCGGGGCUCAACCCCGAGCCUGCAUUCGAUACGGGCUAGCUAGAGUGUUGCAGGGGAGACUGGAAUUCCUGGUGUAGCGGUGAAAUGCGCAGAUAUCAGGAGGAACACCGGUGGCGAAGGCGGGUCUCUGGGCAACUACUGACGCUGAGGAGCGAAAGCGUGGGGAGCGAACAGGAUUAGAUACCCUGGUAGUCCACGCCGUAAACGGUGGGCGCUAGGUGUGGGGAACCUUCCACGUUCUCUGUGCCGUAGCUAACGCAUUAAGCGCCCGCCUGGGGAGGUACGGCCGCGAGACGAAACGUACAAUAAGUAAGUUAGUUACGGCGUGAGACGUGCCGACGGCGACGACGAGGGGAGGUUAGG
rnacentral:rRNA from 1 species